UACGAAGGGUGCUAGCGUUGUUCGGAAUCACUGGGCGUAAAGCGCGCGUAGGCGGCUUUUCAAGUCAGGGGUGAAAUCCCAGAGCUUAACUCUGGAAUUGCCUUUGAAACUGAGAAGCUGGAGUGUCGGAGGGGAUAGCGGAAUUGCUAAUGUAGAGGUGAAAUUCGUAGAUAUUAGCAGGAACACCGGUGGCGAAGGCGGCUAUCUGGACGACAACUGACGCUGAGGCGCGAAAGCGUGGGGAUCAAAC
rnacentral:rRNA from 1 species